rnacentral:tRNA from 1 species
GUUUAAGUAGUUUAAUAAAAAUAUUAAUUUGUGGGAUUAAAGAUAUAGAAGAUAAAUUAUCUUAAAUU